rnacentral:rRNA from 1 species
UAAUACGAAGGGGGCUAGCGUUGUUCGGAAUUACUGGGCGUAAAGGGCGCGCAGGCGGCUCUUCAAGUCAGAUGUGAAAGCCCCGGGCUCAACCUGGGAACUGCAUUUGAGACUGGAGAGCUUGAGUUCGGGAGAGGAUGGUGGAAUUCCCAGUGUAGAGGUGAAAUUCGUAGAUAUUGGGAAGAACACCGGUGGCGAAGGCGGCCAUCUGGACCGAUACUGACGCUGAGGCGCGAAAGCGUGGGGAGCAAACAGGAUUAGAUACCCUGGUAGUCCACGCCGUAAACGAUGUGCGCUAGACGUUGGGGGGCGUAGCCUCUCGGUGUCGCAGCUAACGCGGUAAGCGCACCGCCUGGGGAGUACGGCCGCAAGGUUA